UACGGAGGGUGCAAGCGUUAUCCGGAUUUACUGGGUUUAAAGGGUGCGUAGGUGGGUCUGUAAGUCAGUGGUGAAAUCUCCGAGCUUAACUCGGAAACUGCCAUUGAUACUAUAGGUCUUGAAUUAUCUGGAGGUGAGCGGAAUAUGUCAUGUAGCGGUGAAAUGCGUAGAGAUGUGGAGGAAUACCGAUGGCGAAGGCAGCCCCCUGGGAUAACACUGACGCUCAUGCACGAAAGCGUGGGGAGCAAACAGG
rnacentral:rRNA from 1 species